rnacentral:lncRNA from 1 species
UUGAUUUAAGUAACAAACUGUUCCAUCAAUGGAGGAGACGUUUGAUGACCUGAUGAAGAAGUUGGGGGAUAGCUAUGACCCCAAGAAACGAAAGUCCUCUUCCUUAAAACUCCUGCUGCUACAAAACCAUCAAAGAAAUUCAAGACUACAUCUCCCAAGGUUGCACCUAGGGCUAGAACAACAAGAAGCAAAGUGACAGAAAGUGAAGCUGAGUUAAAGAGGGAACUGGAAGAAAGUAGGAAGAAAAGACUAGAGAAAGGAAAGGGGAAGUUUGGUG